rnacentral:rRNA from 1 species
ACAGAGAGGGUUCGAUUAUGGCUCAGAUUGAACGCUGGCGGGAUGCUUACACAUGCAAGUCGAACGGCAGCCUGGACUUCGGUCUGGUGGCGAGUGGCGAACGGGUGAGUAAUGUAUCGGAACGUGCUAGUAGCCAGGGGAUAACUACGCGGCGGCGCCAGCUAUCCACCGCAUACGCCCUUCGAGAGAAAGCGGGGGACCUUCGGGCCUCGCACUAUUAGAGCGGCCGAUAUCGGAUUAGCUAGUUGGUGAAGUAACGGCUCACCAGGCGACGAUCCGUAGCUGGUUUGAGAGGACGACCAGCCACGCACUGGGACUGAGACACGGCCCAGACCUGCGGGAGGCAGCAGUGAAAUUUUGGACAAUGGAAACCCUGAUCAGCCAUCCGCGUGUGCGAUGAAGAUAACUGGUUGUAAGCUGCUGGCAGGAAAGAAGCAGCACGGGAUAAUACUGCGUGCAACUGACAAUACCUGCAGAAUAGCACCGGCUAACUUCGUGCCCAACUGACCGCGGUGCGUGCGGUGCAAGCGCGUUAAUCGGAAUUACUGGGCGUAAAGCGUGCGCAGGCGGUUCAGAAGAAGAUGUGAAAUCCCAGGCUUAACUUUGGAACUGCAUUUUAACUACCAGGCUAGAGUGUGUGUCAGGGAGGUGGAAUUCCGCGUGUAGCAGUGAAAUGCGUAGAUAUGCGGAGGAACACCGAUGGCGAAGGCAGCCUCUGGGAUAACACUGACGCUCAUGCACGAAAAGCGUGGGGAGCAAACAGGAUUAGAUACCCUAGUGAUCGCCCUAAACGUGUCAACUAGCUGUUGGAAACGCUUCGGGCGCGGUAGCGCAGCUAACGCGUGGUGAGCACUUCGGGAGAGUACGGUCGCAAGAUUAAAACUCAAAGGGGUGACGGGGACCCGCACAAGCGGGAGGUGGAUGUGGAUUAAUUCGGUAGCACUUGAAAAACCUUACCUACCCUUGACAUGUCUGGAAUCCCGAGUUUGGGAGUGUAUAAGAGAACCGGAACACAGGUGCUGCAUGGCUGUCGUCAGCUCGUGUCGUGAGAUGUUGGGUUAAGUCCCGCAACAGGCGCAGCCCUUGUCAUUAGUUGCUACGAAGGGCACUCUAAUGGGACUGCCGACAAACCGGAGGAAGGUGGGGAUGACGUCAAGUCCUCAUGGCCCUUAUGGGUAGGGCUUCACACGUCAUACAAUGGUCGGGACAGAGGGUCGCCAACCAUGAGAGACCAAUCCCAACCCGAUCGUAGUCCGGAUCACGGUCUGCAACUCGACUGCGUGAAGUCCGAAUCGCUAGUAAUCGCGGAUCAGCAUGUCGCGGUGAAUACGUUCCCGGGUCUUGUACACACCACCGCCCGUCACACCAUGGGAGUGGGUUUUACCAAAGUAGUUAGCCUAACCGUAAGGAGGGCGAUUACCACGGUAGGAUUCAUGACUGGGGUGAAGUCUCGUAACUGGAGUAG